GAAACAAUUGAUGUAUAUUACUUUAUUGAAGAAAAUUAUAUAUCCACCGUGAAUUACAAAGCAAGAAGUAAGGUAGCUAUGCAUACAAUUGAUGUGGAUCACUUUAUUGAAAAAGAAAUCAUAUAUCUACCGUGAAUUACCAUGGGGAGGUAUCGACAGUAGGGCCAAGGGUUGAAAAUCUCAACAAGUUCAAAAGUAGCAACGAAGAUUUCCUCCUCCAAAGGUUUCAGGUUCGAUUUAUUAUGCUAAUUUCGUUGAACUUAUGAGCUUGCUCUGGCUUUAAACGGGACCCUCACAAGUGGGCGGGAUUGGUCCUUUUAAAUUAGUCGAUUCUUGAAUCGGGAUCGGAUACCGAAUUUAAAAAAAAAAAAAGAAACAACGAAGAUUUCCCAACAUUAGUUUGCACGGACCUGGCCGCUAGAGGUAAAACUGCACGUAUGGAUGCAAAAGGGAAAAUAACAAGUUUAGUUACUAAAAAGGACUAUAGCUUGGCAACCAAAAUAGAGGAGGCAAUAAAAAAGAAUGAGAAUUUGGAGGCUAUCACACAUAUAAAAUAAAACAUUGUUCUACCUAAAAAAAAAUCUUUCAUAAUUUUUAAACGUUAGCGCAAUAAAAAGAGCGGAAAGACGGGCACGUGGGUGUCCGUCUUUUCUCUGAUAAUUUAUUAAGUUUAGAGAUUCAAAUUCUCUAAACACUGGUUUAUAUGAACUUUUAGUUCAUUCAUCUUGACUACAAAAUAUAAAAUUGUCUAAUCAUAUAACUUUGAAAUUAAGUCCAAGUUACUCAAAUUUAAAAUUAAACGCUUGUUUACAUGAUAAAUUUUGGAGCGGUGCUAUUCUUCCCGACAGAAUAGACCACGAAUUUCUCAGGAAACUUGUUUUUAGUUAUAAUUUGGUCAAAUAGAAAAAAGCAGAAAUGGCGGCAAUAAAGGCGGAAGGGUGAUAUGUAGUUAUAUACACAGAUCGGGAUGAUUUCGGGAUAAACUCUUUCGGUAUAAAUAUCAUUAUCCUAAAUUUUGAUAUGUCAAAUAUUAAAAUCACACAACUUAUAAAAUAGAAGGAAAAUUUUAAUUUUGAACAUACCAUAAAAGGACAGUCUUUUCCCACAAAAAUGCAUGUCUUAAUUUUUUUUUUUUGAAUCAUCUUUAUCUUAUUCAGUAGAAAUCUGAAAUUCGAAUUCUUUCUUAUUUUUUGAGUAGCUAACUUCUAAGUUUUAGCACUCCCUAUCGAACUAAAAUCAUCCUAAUUCCUUUAACCGAUUAACCAAGGGCCCAAAUUUAAGAAUAUUAAAUUUGCGCAUUUUUCCAAAUGGUUAUUUUAGAAUAGUAUAGAACAAUGCACUAAAGUAACAACCGAAUCCAUCUCAACUAAUUGCAUCCCAAGAAAUUAUUAGCAUAUUACCAUCCAUUCUUUAAUAGUCACCAAAAUAAGAGGUUCGCUGCAGAUGUUGGCUUUUCAAUAGCAAGAAUGACGUACAUAGGGUUCAUACUUUUAUGUAAUUGCCUAAAAAUUCUUUAGCAACCACAUAAGUCACAUUCCUACUAAACAUGAAUGAAAGGUACACAAGCCAUGUGGCAUGAAAUGGUUCAAACGGCUUUUAAUGUCAAAUAAGAUCAAUAUUGUUCUCGGAUGGAUUUUAGUGUUGUUGUUUAAAAACAACAAGCACUUUGUCAUUUC
rnacentral:lncRNA from 1 species